UGAUCUCACAAAUGUAUAUAAUCACAAAUUGAUCUCUUCAAUUUAAUGCUUGGAAGUUGCCAUUCCCGUGCACCUUCCACAGCCCGGUUGCAGAAACGUGU
rnacentral:snoRNA from 1 species